UACGUAGGGCGCGAGCGUUGUCCGGAAUUAUUGGGCGUAAAGAGCUCGUAGGCGGUGUGUCGCGUCGGCCGUGAAAACCUGCAGCUUAACUGUGGGCUUGCGGUCGAUACGGGCAUCACUGGAGUUCGGUAGGGGAGACUGGAAUUCCUGGUGUAGCGGUGAAAUGCGCAGAUAUCAGGAGGAACACCGGUGGCGAAGGCGG
rnacentral:rRNA from 1 species